rnacentral:tRNA from 1 species
GCCUAGGUAGCUCAGUAGUAGAGCGUUCCCCUGAAGAGGGACAGGUCGGGUGUGCGAUUCACCCCCUAGGCA